UACGAAGGGGGCUAGCGUUGCUCGGAAUCACUGGGCGUAAAGCGCACGUAGGCGGAUUGUUAAGUCAGGGGUGAAAUCCUGGAGCUCAACUCCAGAACUGCCUUUGAUACUGGCGAUCUUGAGUUCGGGAGAGGUGAGUGGAACUGCGAGUGUAGAGGUGAAAUUCGUAGAUAUUCGCAAGAACACCAGUGGCGAAGGCGGCUCACUGGCCCGAUACUGACGCUGAGGCACGAAAGCGUGGGGAGCAACAG
rnacentral:rRNA from 1 species